rnacentral:rRNA from 1 species
UCGACAAGGCAGUAAUGCAGUUAACACAUUAAGUGUGCCGCCUGGGGAGUACGGUCGCAAGAUUAAAACUCAAAGGAAUAGACGGGGACCCGCACAAGCGGUGGAGCAUGUGGUUUAAUUCGACGAUACGCGAAGAACCUUACCUGGACUUGACAUAGAAAGAAUAACGCAGAGAUGUGAUAGUGCUUGCUUGCAAGAACUUUCAUACAGGUGCUGCACGGCUGUCGUCAGCUCGUGUCGUGAGAUGUUGGGUUAAGUCCCGCAACGAGCGCAACCCUCGUGUUUAGUUACUAACAGUUCGGCUGAGGACUCUAGACAGACUGCCUGGGUAACCAGGAGGAAGGUGAGGACGACGUCAAGUCAUCAUGGCCCUUAUGUCCAGGGCUACACACGUGCUACAAUGGGGCAUACAAAGAGCAGCGAUACCGCGAGGUGGAGCAAAUCUGUUAAAAUGCCUCUCAGUUCGGAUAGCACUCUGCAACUCGAGUGCUUGAAGUUGGAAUCGCUAGUAAUCGUGGAUCAGCAAUGCCACGGUGAAUACGUUCCCGGGUCUUGUACUCACCGCCCGUCACACCAUGGGAAUUGAAUUCAUUCGAAGCGGGGAUGCUAAAAUAGCUACCUUCCACAGUGGAUUUAGUAACUGGGGUGAAGUCGUAACAAGGUAGCCG